ACCAAUAGUUGGGCCUCACCUCGCAGUUCCUGGAAAGAAUUACUGGCCUCGCGAUUCCGGCCCCGUCGCCGCCGUCGCAUCGCCGCCGCCACCGGCGCCGCCUCGUAGCGCCCCCGACCUGCUCGCACCGCUACAAACCCAUGGCGAGGGAAGAGGAGAAAAGAUUGAUUCUUUUGGUCUCCAUAGGCUUUGGCGAAUCAGAUUGACAUGUACUUGGUGCAUGCCUCUGUUCUCGUAGCUCUAACUUGCCAUCGCAUAGUUGCAGCCUAUCCUACCAAUGACUAGUGACCUAACUCUUGACAGUUUCUGUCAAAAAAAGUCCUGUCAGCUAGGAUUUCAGCAACUGAGUACCAUGGGGCAUUGGAAGAUGAUGGAGACUGUUAGCUGUGGCUGGAGGAGUUGCCAGACUAUGAUAUGAGAUGAUGAAGUGACGGAGGGAAGGUGGGGCAUAAACUGUUCUCGAGAUAUCACCAUCGUCCAAACGUUAUUUGCAGAAUCCAGACGAUAAUCUGGAAAUAAAGAAAAGAACUGCACAAGUUAGUACUUGAACCUUUUUUAGGGUUUUAUUUUUAUUUGGAUGAACUGCAUUCUGUGGGCAGGCGAUGCAUAUGUACAAAGAGCCACCAAUUUCUAAUGGCUUAGCAGUAUAUAAUCAUCACUCUGGAAUUUGCUACUCAGAAUUUAAUGUAACACUAUUUUGUAACGUUGAUUAGAAAUACUUACUACUAUGUAUGCAGGGACAGUGCGGUUUUAUUUUCUGAACAGAUGUGGCCUGACCAUGGUACAUGACUGAUCUGUAAAAAGUUCUUGGUUGCUGCUGUUUGGAAGGUCAUCCAGUCUGAGGCAUUCAUCGAUUGAGACCGACUGUGCUAGAUCAUGCAUAGCAUCAUGCAUCACAUAUCCACCGUUGUGAUAUUGGAAGAAGGACCUGCUUAGUAAUUCAUCAAAAUAGCUACUUCCAGUCUCUUCUAUUCUUCUCCUCUGCUAUGGCUGAAUAAACCCAAGGGCCAUCCAUAUCUGGACGAACCUGUCUUUCUCAAACACAUAAUCUUUGUGAAAGACCGAGCAAAAUGCAAAACAUCUCUUCAGUACGGGCGGCAAAUGAUUGUAACUCAAUCUCAGAGCUGGUAAUAUAUUGUUCUUAUCUGAUGGCAAUUCCCAUAUUUCACUCCUUAAUACAUUUUCCCAAUCAUCCUCGGUAUCCUUGGAAUAUAGUAAGCUGCCUAUUGCUUUUGCAGCCAGUGGCAGGCCUUUCAACUUCUUUACAAUUUCCAUGCCUAUUCGUACCAAAUUUGGGUCUUCAAUGGAUUUACCAUCUACAAAUGCAUAGCUUCUGAACAAAUACCAGCAAUCAUCGUCAGAUAACUGAUUGAGAUAAUAUGGAGCCAUCCCGCCCAUUACUAUCCCCACAUUUUUGUUCCUUGUGGUUACUACGAUUCUGCUUCCCUUUCCCCCAGUAACUAGAGCACGGUGAUAUGUAUACCACUUUUCAGGGUCCUCAUUCCAUACAUCAUCAAGUACUAGAAGAAACCUUUUAUCUGUUAGCUUUUUUGAGAGGUCUUCUUGUAUCAUUGUAGACCAGCUGUGUUAGAGUCGUCUUCCCUAGUCCGCCCAUACCCACUAUGGGAAGAAUAGAAAGGUUGGCACGGUUCUUUUGAUCAAGCAACAUCUUCACAAUGAUCUCUUUAUCUUCUUCUCUUCCAAACACACUUGAGUCGUCAAUGAUUGAACUGGUCUCGGGUCUUUCUUUUAUCUCUUUCCUGUCCGUAGUACUGAUCAUGUUUGGGCCAAUAAUCUGUCUUUGUUUGACAAGCCUGUCGAGCUUCUCCUCUACCUUCCGUAUGUCUUGUAAUAUCUUGUGGUUGAAUAAACAAGUGUUGAACCAAAAGCAGCAGAAACAGCUCCUCACCUUGUUCAAAUGGUUGUAGUUGGAUGUGCCUUCUAGUUUGGAUCGAAGGGCCUCAGCUGCAUAAUCAUCAAGCAAGUCAUCCAUCUCAUAUGCGAUGUCCUUGAGCUUGGCAAGCCAGUCUCGUGCCGCCUCAUCCUUCAGCUGCCGCUCCUCAGCAUCUUCAACGUGGGCCUGAAUGGUCGACAGGCUGCUGGAUAGUUUCUCCAGCUCCUCGGCUACAUUUUGAGACCGAAGGAUCCGAGCCUGGCAAUAUCCUGGGAAGACUGAUGAAGACUUCAUCAGAGAAGGAAAAAAAGGAACACAGUUUGUCGUUGUGUGUGACAUCGUGUACCACUGAUUUACUUUUCCUUACAGCUCUUGUCUGUCAACAAUGUCUGGAAGAUUGGUUGGAAAUUUGGAGGAAAGACACCAAGGAUGACAUCUUCAAGUUAGUAUGAUUCAUUUUAGCGGAAGCUGAGACUGAGUUAUCAGGUGCGCGUUCAGUUUUUUGUAUGAGGAGGUUGAUUCUGUGAAGGUUUGUUUUUGUCUUCUGAAGGAUCGUAGUAUCGGUGUAUUUGAAUGCAGGCGUGUAACGGUGGUGUAUAGUGGUGAAAACAAAGAAGAUGAGAAUUUUUUUUUUAAUAAUUUAUA